rnacentral:ncRNA from 2 species
GAGGUCGACAUGGGAGAGUGCAGCUGCUGCUGCCGCCGAAGGAGCAACGCCCCGGAAACUCUCAGGCACCAGAACCGUGCCGGCCGC